CUACGGGUGGCAGCAGUGAGGAAUAUUGCGCAAUGGGGGAAACCCUGACGCAGCGACGCCGCGUGGAUGAUGAAGGCUUUCGGGUCGUAAAAUCCUGUCAGAUGGAAAGAAAUGUAAUCCUGCUAAUACCAUGAUUACUUGACGGUACCAUCAGAGGAAGCACCGGCUAACUCCGUGCCAGCAGCCGCGGUAAUACGGAGGGUGCAAGCGUUGUUCGGAAUUACUGGGCGUAAAGCGCGCGUAGGCGGUUUGUUAAGUCAGAUGUGAAAGCCCAGGGCUCAACCCUGGACGUGCAUUUGAAACUGGCAGACUUGAGUAUUGGAGGGGGUGGUGGAAUUCCCGGUGUAGAGGUGAAAUUCGUAGAUAUCGGGAGGAAUACCGGUGGCGAAGGCGACCACCUGGCCAAAUACUGACGCUGAGGUGCGAAAGCGUGGGGAGCAAACAGGAUUAGAUACCCUCGUAGUC
rnacentral:rRNA from 1 species